rnacentral:rRNA from 1 species
ACGCUGGCGGCAGGCUUAACACAUGCAAGUCGAACGAUGAAGUCUAGCUUGCUAGACGGAUUAGUGGCGAACGGGUGAGUAAUGCUUAGGAAUCUGCCUAUUAGUGGGGGAUAACGUAGGGAAACUUACGCUAAUACCGCAUACGUCUUACGAGAGAAAGGGGGCUUUUAGCUCUCGCUAAUAGAUGAGCCUAAGUCGGAUUAGCUAGUUGGUGGGGUAAAGGCCUACCAAGGCGACGAUCUGUAGCUGGUCUGAGAGGAUGAUCAGCCACACUGGGACUGAGACACGGCCCAGACUCCUACGGGAGGCAGCAGUGGGGAAUAUUGGACAAUGGGCGAAAGCCUGAUCCAGCCAUGCCGCGUGUGUGAAGAAGGCCUUUUGGUUGUAAAGCACUUUAAGUGGGGAGGAAAAGUUGACGGUUAAUACCCGCCAGCCCUGACGUUACCCACAGAAUAAGCACCGGCUAACUCUGUGCCAGCAGCCGCGGUAAUACAGAGGGUGCAAGCGUUAAUCGGAAUUACUGGGCGUAAAGCGAGCGUAGGUGGUCAUUUAAGUCAGAUGUGAAAUCCCCGGGCUUAACCUGGGAACCGCAUCUGAUACUGGGUGACUAGAGUAGGUGAGAGGGAAGUAGAAUUCCAGGUGUAGCGGUGAAAUGCGUAGAGAUCUGGAGGAAUACCGAUGGCGAAGGCAGCUUCCUGGCAUCAUACUGACACUGAGGUUCGAAAGCGUGGGUAGCAAACAGGAUUAGAUACCCUGGUAGUCCACGCCGUAAACGAUGUCUACCAGUCGUUGGGUCUCUUGAAGACUUAGUGACGCAGUUAACGCGAUAAGUAGACCGCCUGGGGAGUACGGCCGCAAGGUUAAAACUCAAAUGAAUUGACGGGGCCCGCACAAGCGGUGGAGCA